AAUAGGGUGAAAACAACACCCUGUGUCUUUUGUGCUUUUUCCACAUAAAUUCUUAGGUGCUUCUUCUGGUCAUAUGAAUAAUGUGCUUCCUAUUUUUGUGGGGAUUGCCUUGAAUUUGUAAAUUGCAUUGGGUAGAGUAGAAAUUUUCAUCAUGUUAAUUCUUGUAAUCCGUGGACAUGGAUGUCUUUCUAGUGUUUGUGUCUGCUUCAGGUUCUUUCACUGGUGUUUCAUAAUAGUCAUGGUAGAGAAGACACUAAGAAAUGGACAAGUAGGAGUACUUUCUACAUGGCUUGGCAAACAUUUUAAUGAGAUGUAGGGGCAAAGCAUUGAGGCCUGUCUGUGUCUAGCACACAGUAACUGCUCAGUCACAUUAGUUCUUACCAGUCCAUCACCCUCUGCUCUUUCAGACUCUUCUUCCUUGUCUUAGACAAUGGAUAACUGUUCAUGGUGUGAUGGACCAUUCUACUCACAUAAGUUAAUGUUCCUCAAAUGAUUUAAAUGUUUAGUAUAUUAAUAAUGUCUCAAGGAGCAUCAUCUACAUAUAUUUGGUAUGUCCCUUAUUAAUUGUGAAGAUACUUCUCCAGGUUGUAUCCUGUAAAGGGAAUUGCAAGAUCAAAGUUCUGGUACAUUCCUGAUGGUGCUGUUCUGGCCCCAUUGCCUGGCAAGAAGAUUUUCCCAUUCACAUUCGCAGCCACUGAUGAGAAUGUUCUUUUCUAUACCCCCUUGCAGAAACUAGACAGCCCCUGUUACCUUCUGUUAACUUUUACCAGCACUUAACUCUUUAUUGUGAGAUUUUAUCAACUCAGAUUACACUCAAUAGGCCUGGAAAGGCUGUGAUCAAUGGGAUGGUCUGUGUUCUCUUGUAUUGGAUGACUGCUCUGUUCUGAGAUAAUCAGACAACAGCAGUGUGAGCACACGAGUCUUGCACGGUGGACGACACUGCGUGUUGGGUUCCUGCAGUGUUCUGGAUUUUGUGUGUGAGGCCCUCGUUUCUCUGUCGCUCUUUCCUUUCUUUCUGCCUUCUUCCUUAUUCUUUCUUUCCACUGACUUGGGAUUGGUCUGCUCCUGGUUUACUAGGAUUUUUGAGAUACUUUGUUAGGUUAUUGGAAGUCCUUCUAAUUAUUUGAUGUAGGAACUUAAUCCCAUAACCUUUCCUCUGCAUACUACUUUUAGAAUUUCCUGUAGAUUCAGUGUGUUGUGCUUCCAUUUUAAUUAGUCUCAUGGAAUUUUGAAAUUUCCCUCUUGGUUUCUUAUCCAGCCUUUAUGUAUUUGCAUACCUUUGGGGGUUCUUGCAAUUGUUGAUUUCUAGUAUUAUAGCAUCCAUGUUCCAUGUGCAGAUGAAAAGAAGGUGUAUUCUGCAGCUGUGGAGUGAAAUAUCUGUACUCAUCUGUUAUGGCCAUUUGGUCUGUAGUAGUUUCUCUCUGAUGCUUGUUAAUUUUUUUCCAGGUGAUCUCUUCCUGUCGAAGAAAGAUUCAAUGUGUUUGAAUUUCAUUGAAGAGGACUUUCACAUGCUGGUUGAACUUAUCACAAGCAGCAUUGCCUCGCAGAAAAGCUGGGUCCACAGAGGUCCAGAAUGAAUCUCUACUCUCUCUGACUCCAGGAGACAAAAAGAAGAACAUGGAUCUCCAUACAGAAAUGACCUCCAUGAGGUCUGACACUCUCCACCAUUGCAGCAGAGGAGAAAACCUGAGGGAGAAUUC